rnacentral:rRNA from 1 species
CCUACGGGAGGCAGCAGUGGGGAAUAUUGCACAAUGGGGGAAACCCUGAUGCAGCGACGCCGUGUGAGUGAAGAAGCGUUUCGGCGCGUAAAGCUCUGUCAGCGGGGAAGAAACACGGUUCGCGAGAGCCGCGGACGGUACCCGACCAAGAAGCCCCGGCUAACUACGUGCCAGCAGCCGCGGUAAUACGUAGGUGGCGAGCGUUAUCCGGAAUGAUUGGGCGUAAAGGGUGCGUAGGCGGCCUGCUAAGUCUGGAGUGAAAGGUACCGGCUCAACCGGUACAGGCUCUGGAAACUGGCGGGCUA